rnacentral:rRNA from 1 species
GAUGAACGCUGGCGGCGUGCCUAAUACAUGCAAGUCGAGCGAACGGACGAGAAGCUUGCUUCUCUGAUGUUAGCGGCGGACGGGUGAGUAACACGUGGAUAACCUACCUAUAAGACUGGGAUAACUUCGGGAAACCGGAGCUAAUACCGGAUAAUAUUUUGAACCGCAUGGUUCAAAAGUGAAAGACGGUCUUGCUGUCACUUAUAGAUGGAUCCGCGCUGCAUUAGCUAGUUGGUAAGGUAACGGCUUACCAAGGCAACGAUGCAUAGCCGACCUGAGAGGGUGAUCGGCCACACUGGAACUGAGACACGGUCCAGACUCCUACGGGAGGCAGCAGUAGGGAACCUUCCGCAAUGGGGGAAAGCCUGACGGAGCAACGCCGCGUGAGUGAUGAAGGUCUUCGGAUCGUAAAACUCUGUUAUUAGGGAAGAACAUAUGUGUAAGUAACUGUGCACAUCUUGACGGUACCUAAUCAGAAAGCCACGGCUAACUACGUG